rnacentral:rRNA from 1 species
AGCGAACGCUAGCGGCAGGCCUAACACAUGCAAGUCGAACGAAGCCUUCGGGCUUAGUGGCGGACGGGUGAGUAACACGUGGGAACGUACCUUUUGGUUCGGAAUAACGCAGAGAAAUUUGCGCUAAUACCGAAUGAGCCCUUCGGGGGAAAGAUUUAUCGCCGAAAGAUCGGCCCGCGUUGGAUUAGGUAGUUGGUGUGGUAAAGGCGCACCAAGCCUACGAUCUAUAGCUGGUCUGAGAGGAUGAUCAGCCACACUGGGACUGAGACACGGCCCAGACUCCUACGGGAGGCAGCAGUGGGGAAUCUUGCGCAAUGGGCGAAAGCCUGACGCAGCCAUGCCGCGUGAAUGAUGAAGGUCUUAGGAUUGUAAAAUUCUUUUACCAGGGACGAUAAUGACGGUACCUGGAGAAAAAGCCCCGGCUAACUUCGUGCCAGCCGCCGCCGUAACAC